rnacentral:rRNA from 1 species
UACGAAGGGGGCUAGCGUUGUUCGGAAUCACUGGGCGUAAAGGGCGCGUAGGCGGCCGAUCAAGUCGGGGGUGGAAGCCUGUGACUCAACCACAGAAUUGCCUUCGAUACUGGUUGGCUUGAGACCGGAAGAGGUAAGUGGAACUGCGAGUGUAGAGGUGAAAUUCGUAGAUAUUCGCAAGAACACCAGUGGCGAAGGCGGCUUACUGGUCCGGUUCUGACGCUGAGGCGCGAAAGCGUGGGGAGCAAACAGG